AUACUUACCUAGAUGGGGUUGGCAUACUAUCAAUAAGUUUCAUGGCUUAGUCUAAUGAUCUCCAUUGCACUUAGGAGGGGUGCUCUCCUAUGCUCUCCCCAAGUGAGAGAGCCUACAUCAUAAUUUGUGAUAGUUAGGGCAUGUGUUCACGUGACCCCUUC